GGCUGAGGCAGGAGGAUCACCUGAACCCGGGAGGUGAAAGCUGCAGUAAGCCAAGACCAUGCCACUGCACUCCAGACUAGAAGAAAGAGUGAGACUCUGUCUAAAAAAAUAAACUCUAAGUGCUCUUGGAAUAUAACAUACUGUUCCACAGGACAAGACAUAAAAUACCACGACUCUGAUUCUCAUACAUGAUUAAAUGGAACGAGACCUUUAAAACUGUGGCCUGACAAAAUAUGAAAUUGGCUGGGUGCCAUGGCUCACGCCUGUACUCUCAACACUUUAGGAGGCUGAGGUGGGCAGAUGACCUGAGAUCAGGAGCUCAAGACAACCCUGGCCAACGUGGUCAAACCCCAUCUCUACUAAUAAUGCGUAAGUUAGCUGGGCGUGGUGGCGGGCACCUGUAAUCCCAGCUACUCCAGAGGCUGAGGCAGGGAGAAAUCGCUUGAACCUGGGAGGUGGAGGUUGCAGUGAGCCGAAACUGAGCCACUGCACUCGAGCCUGGGGCAACAGAGCGAGACUCUGUCUCGAAAAUAAAUAAAUAAAU
rnacentral:lncRNA from 10 species